rnacentral:rRNA from 1 species
AUUGAACGCUGGCGGCAGGCCUAACACAUGCAAGUCGAGCGGAUGAAUGGAGCUUGCUCCUGGAUUCAGCGGCGGACGGGUGAGUAAUGCCUAUGAAUCUGCCUGGUUGUUGGGGAUAACGUCCGGAUACGGGCGCUAAUACCGCAUACGUCCUUAUGGAGAAAGUGGGGGAUCUUCGGACCUCACGCUAUCAGAUGAGCCUAGGUCGGAUUAGCUAGUUGGUGGGGUAAAGGCCUACCAAGGCGACGAUCCGUAACUGGUCUGAGAGGAUGAUCAGUCACACUGGAACUGAGACACGGUACAGACUCCUACGGGAGGCAGCAGUGGGGAAUAUUGGACAAUGGGCGAAAGCCUGAUCCAGCCAAGCCGCGUGUGUGAAGAAGGUCUUCGGAUUGUAAAGCACUUUAAGUUGGGAGGAAGGGCAGUAAGUUAAUACCUUGCUGUUAUGACGUUACCAACAGAAUAAGCACCGGCUAACUUCGUG